AGAGCGAACGCUGGCGGCAGGCCUAACACAUGCAAGUCGAGCGCCCGUAGCAAUACGGGAGCGGCAGACGGGAUAGUAACACGUGGGAACGCGCCCUUCGGUUCGGAAUAACUCAGGGAAACUUGAGCUAAUACCGAAUACGCCCUUACGGGGAAAGAUUUAUUGCCGAAGGAACGGCCCGCGUCCGAUUAGCUAGUUGGUGAGGUAAUGGCUCACCAAGGCUACGAUCGGUAGCUGGUCUGAGAGGAUGACCAGCAUCACUGGGACUGAGACACGGCCCAGACUCCUACGGGAGGCAGCAGUGGGGAAUAUUGGACAAUGGGCGCAAGCCUGAUCCAGCCAUGCCGCGUGGAUGAUGAAGGCCUUAGGGUUGUAAAGUCCUUUAACGGGGAAGAUAAUGACGGUACCCGUAGAAUAAGCCCGGCUAACUUCGUGCCAGCAGCCGC
rnacentral:rRNA from 1 species